UCAAAUGAUGAAAUAUGCACUGGGCUCUGAUCAAACUUGAUGGAAAUUAUGCAGUCUAGAAAGCUAUUUUCUGAUGA